GUCAUGCAAUUGGCGCGUGUGCACCAUUUACGGUUUGGGCUGUAGUCCCACAAGUACGGGGGGAAGAAUAAUAAUAAUAGGAAAAAUCCUUACAAAAACAAUAGGGAUCCAACCUGUUGGCUUGGACCCCUAAUAAUCCUUACAAAAACAAUAGGGAUCCAACCUGUUGGCUUGGACCCCUAACUAGAACUGCAAGCAGUUAUGCAGGGGUCCAAGAAAUGUGCAUUUCGCCGGCACAACGCGAAGCAUGUGUUCAAAACCAAUUGGCGUGGCCUAUGCCAAAAUAUGCCACUGACUCCAGUGAAUCUGUGCAUAUAACGUUUUUGACUGUGGGAGGUUCGGUGUGGGAGUUAUAGCCCCAAACGCGUAUUCCUUGGUAUAGCGCCACCUAGUGGCCGGCGUGUCUGGAUUUUGUCGUCUGCGUAGUGUUCACGGACCUGGAUCUAGUGAUGCAAUUGGCGCGCGUGCACCAUUUACUGUUUGGGCUGUGGUACCACUUCUAGAUGGGAAGUAUAAUAAUAAUAAUCCUUACAAAAACAAUAGGGAUCCAACCUGUUGGCUUGGACCCCUAAUAAUAGGAAAAAUCCUUACAAAAACAAUAGGGAUCCAACCUGUUGGCUUGGACCCCUAAUAAUCCUUACAAAAACAAUCGGGAUCCAACCUGUUGGCUUGGACCCCUAACUAGAACUGCAAGCAGUUAUGCAGGGGUCCAAGAAAUGUGCAUUUCGCCGGCACAACGCGAAGCAUGUGUUCAAAACCAAUUGGCGUGGCCUAUGCCAAAAUAUGCCACUGACUCCAGUGAAUCUGUGCAUAUAACGUUUUUGACUGUGGGAGCUUCGGUGUGGGAGUUAUAGCCCAAAACGCGUUUUCAGAACAUUCCAUUGGCCAGUUAGGAGAUAUAUUAUUUCGUCGUUUAUUUGCGCCUCCUUGUGGCGAGAUUUUCCAAAGACAAUUUUCCUUUGCCAAAUAACUCCCGCCCACAUUAAUAAUUCUUGGCCAUAUUUUUUAUAUAGACUCGGGUUUGCCCCUUGAUGGUUUCCUUAUAGUUUGAAGAACAUUCCUUGGGCCAAUUAGAACAUAUACAAUUUCCUCGUUUAUUGCGCCCCCUAAUGGCGAAAAAUUCCGGAAUUUUUAUCGAACGACAGUUAGGUUAGCACCAAAAUGUGUGUAAAAUUUGGACUUGUUCCGAUGUCUAAUUUUGGAUUUCUUUGGAUUUUUGAUUUUCCACGUCUAAUUUAGCUCAUAAACCAAUAUUCAAAACGCUACCGUUUCGUCGUCAAAGGUCGCAUCAAAAAAGUGUUUCAUGCAUUCUUUGCGCGUGCGUCUGAAG
rnacentral:lncRNA from 1 species